rnacentral:rRNA from 1 species
CGGGUGCGUAACGCGUAUGCAACCUACCUUCAACUGGAGGAUAGCCCCGAGAAAUCGGGAUUAAUACUCCAUAACAUCCAGCUUUCGCAUGUUAGCUGGAUUAAAGUCCCGACGGUUGAAGAUGGGCAUGCGUGACAUUAGUUUGUUGGUGAGGUAACGGCUCACCAAGACUACGAUGUCUAGGGGUUCUGAGAGGAUUAUCCCCCACACUGGUACUGAGACACGGACCAG